CCACCCCCUCCCUGUCCAGAGCUCAGCCUGGAUGAGAACUGUACAGAGGCCCAGGACGGGGAGCUGGACGGGCUGUGGACGACCAUCACCAUCUUCAUCAGCCUCUUCCUGCUCAGCGUGUGCUACAGUGCCACUGUCACUCUCUUCAAGGUGAACUGGAUCUUCUCCUCAGUGGUGGAGCUGAAGCCGACCAUCGCCCCUGACUACAGGAACAUGAUCGGGCAGGGGGCCUAGGCCACCUCCUGCAAGGGGCCCAGGGCCUCCCAGACCCUGGAGGACCAUCCAUCAUGGCCAGCAGCCUGGCUCCCCAGCCACACCUGCCCUUGGACCUCAUUGCCCUCUGACCCUGCGACUCACUGACCCUGCAGCCCUGCUCCUGCCCUUUGGAGGACCUCUGGAGAGCAGGCUCUACCCCCAGACUUCAGCAGCCUGGACACAGACCACCCCUGGCCCAAGACACUGGACAGGGCCAGCAGGGGACAUGUGCACCUCACCAGGACAUCGCUGCCCUCAGGGGGAAAGCCACUCACCCGAGAGGAGGCCGAGGUCAGCUUGCUGAAGUCCACCAGGGCAGAGACAGCUUCGCACUGACCACUCCAGCCUCCCCACUGCAGGGUUUCUUGAGAGAGAAGGUGAAGUCCUCAGAACACUGAGUGGGGACCUCUCACCUGAGCUGGGAAGCUCUGGGCCAACACUCCCCAACAGGGGAGCUUCGGGAAGGGCUUCCUGCGGUCACUCAGAUGGCCUUCACUCCCGCCCGUGCCGUGCCAAGCCCCAUCUUGGGUCAUUCUGCAAACCCCGAGUCUCUCUGGCUCCUGGGAAGCAGCCUCCUGUGUGAUGGGGUCUCUGUGCACUGGCCCCUCCUUUGGCGCACCCGCUUCAGAGGUGGGGUUCUACCCACAGGACAGCACCUUGGACCCUCUCUGCAUGGGAACAACUAGGGAUGGGUCCAGGAUGCCACUUCCCACAGUGGGACCCAGCUCCACACCAGGGAGACCACUCAGAAGGACCUGGGCACAUGUGGCCAUUCCGGGAGGCCUGGCGAGUGCUAGGGCAGAGACCACCUGAGAGGGUGGGCAUCAGCCAGGUGUCCCUCUAGGAGAGCACUGGACAGUGUCCAGGCAGGCCAGGCAUGGACUGAGGCUGCUGAGGGCACCAGGCAGGUGGGGCACAGGAGGCCAGGACACAGCCAGGCCACAGACGGCGGGUGGACCAGAGCCCCUCCAGAGAGCCCAGGGCCUGGGGAGCCAUGGCUGGCGGGCAGUGACGACAGACAGAGGGCCCCAGGAUCUGUUUGUGCCAUCACUACUCAGGAGCGAACACCGAGUCAGAGUUUCCAGAGAGGAAAAGACACAACAAACAGCAGAGGGGCCUCCCCAGGUGGGCUCAGGGCAGUGGCCCAGGACCUGCACACUUCUGGAUUUAAUAGGAGAGAACAGAGGGUCCUCCCAGGGGGGCUCAGGACAGUGGCCCAGGACCUGCACACUUCUGGAUUUAAUAGGAGAGAACAGCAGGACCUCCCAGGGGGCUCAGAACAGUGGCCCAGGACCUGCACACUUCUGGAUUUAAUAGGAGAGAACAGAGGGGCCUCCCAGGGGGGCUCAGGACAGUGGCCCAGGACCUGCACACUUCUGGAUUUAAUAGGACAGAACAGAGGGACCUCCCAGGGGGGCUCAGGACAGUGGCCCAGGACCUGCACACUUCUGGCUUUAAUAGGAGAGAACAGAGGGGCCUCCCAGGGGGGCUCAGGACAGUGACCCCAGGACCUGCACACUUCUGGCUUUAAUAGGAGAGAAGAGCAGGACCUCCCAGGGGGGCUCAGGACAGUGGCCCAGGACCUGCACACUUCUGGAUUUAAUAGGACAGAACAGAGGGACCUCCCAGGGGGACUCAGGGCAGUGGCCCAGGACCUGCACACUUCUGGAUUUAAUAGGAGAGAACAGAGGGUCCUCCCAGGGGGGCUCAGGACAGUGGCCCAGGACCUGCACACUUCUGGAUUUAAUAGGAGAGAACAGAGGGUCCUCCCAGGGGGGCUCAGGACAGUGGCCCAGGACCUGCACACUUCUGGAUUUAAUAGGAGAGAACAGCAGGACCUCCCAGGGGGGCUCAGGACAGUGGCCCAGGACCUGCACACUUCUGGAUUUAAUAGGAGAGAACAGAGGGUCCUCCCAGGGGGGCUCAGGACAGUGGCCCAGGACCUGCACACUUCUGGCUUUUAUAGGAGAGAACAGCAGGACCUCCCAGGGGGGCUCAGGACAGUGGCCAGGACCUGCACACUUCUGGCUUUGGUAGCUUUCUCCUUCUAGUUUACAGGAACCCCAUAAUGUCUUUUCAGGUUUUUUCAGAGUGACAUUAAACAUCCUUUAAACAC